rnacentral:rRNA from 1 species
CGAUGUCUAGGGGUCUGAGAGGAUAACCCCCCACACUGGUACUGAGACACGGACCAGACUCCUACGGGAGGCAGCAGUGAGGAAUAUUGGUCAAUGGGCGCAAGCCUGAACCAGCCAUGCCGCGUGCAGGAUGACGGCCCUAUGGGUUGUAAACUGCUUUUAUACGGGAAGAACCCUCUGAUCGUGAUCGGAGCUGACUGUACCGUAAGAAUAAGCACCGGCUAACUCCGUGCCAGCAGCCGCGGUAAUACGGAGGGUGCAAGCGUUAUCCGGAUUUAUUGGGUUUAAAGGGUGCGCAGGCGGAAUAGUAAGUCAGUGGUGAAAUCCCCCGGCUCAACCGGGGAACUGCCAUUGAUACUGCUGUUCUAGAGUUUAGUUGAAGUGGGCGGAAUGUAGCAUGUAGCGGUGAAAUGCAUAGAUAUGCUACAGAACACCGAUUGCGAAGGCAGCUCACUAAGCUAAAACUGACGCUCAGGCACGAAAGCGUGGGGAUCAAACCGGAUUAGAUACCCUGGUAGUCCACGCUGUAAACUAUGAUCACUCG